rnacentral:lncRNA from 1 species
UAGAGAAAAGGUGAAAAGGCAGCAGAGUGAGCCAGCUGUCCUCUCUCUCCUCUUUUUCCUGCCCCCGAUGACUUGCAUUUUCUCUGAGACAGCUGUCAUUCUGGUCUCCCAGCCAUUCUUAGCAAGAGACGUGCCUGGCUCCGGGAAGGGGCAACUUCUCUGCAUGUCAGAGAUAUGA